rnacentral:rRNA from 1 species
AUUAACAAAAUAAAGUAAAUACACUAUCACGAAAGGCAGUGAGCUAAACAAAUAUAUUUUUUAACAGUACGUAGUAUAGUAUUUUUAUAAUAUAUGUUUAGGGGUGAUAGACUUUCCAAGCUGUUUAAUAACUUGUUACAUAUGAAAAGUAUUUAGUACAGAGACAGGCUUAGAAAGUUAAGCUUUUAAGUAAUUAUUAAAAAUAUUUUUUUAACAUAAUACAGUAUAAUAGCUAGUUAACAUAAAACUUAAUACUACCCAUGUAUUUUUAUAUAUAAUAAUAUGUUAACGUAAAGUUAUUUUAGCGUUUGAUAAUGUUAGUAUUAGUACUAUUUAAAGUGUGCUAAAGGAACUCGGCAAAAUACUGCUCAACUGUUUAUCAAAAACAUAGCUAUAUGAGUUAAUAUAUAGUUAUUUCUGCUCCAUGAUUAUUAAAUAGCCGCAGUACUCUGACUGUGCAAAGGUAGCAUAAUCAGUUGGCUUUUAAUUGAAGUCUGGUAUGAAUGAAAAUAUGGGUGGUGACUGUCUUGGCAUAUUAAUUCGAAUUUGUUAAGCAAGUGCAAAUACUUGCAAAUUUCAAAAAGACGAGAAGACCCUAGAAACUUGAAAUAGUUUUUGUUGGGGCGACAGAAUUACAUUUAACUAAUUUUAAAGACAUGAAACUUAGUUGAAAGAGUAAGUUACUCUAGGGAUAACAGCAUAAUUUUAACAGUUUGUGACCUCGAUGUUGGACUAGGUAUUAUACCCUUAAGGCAAGGUUAUAAGAUGCUCUGUUCGAGCAAUUUCACCUACAU